GCUCCUCAUUAUCUCUAAGCUACUUGAAGAAAAACUCUGAGCUCAAGCCUCAAAUGUCUCAAUCUAUCGUCUAAAAGCUUUGAGGUCAACAACACCAUCUCUUAUUAUCUUGGUUCAACUCAAUUUCCAUUUCACUUCUUCGUGUUUUGAGGUUUAGAACAUUGAGAAAUCCUCUCCUUGAGUCCAAGAACAAUUGAUUUCUCAGGUUGGGAUGACUGUAUGCAGUGACUUGUGGUUCAGUUCCUGAUUUUGGAGAAAUUUUUACUAGCCCUGACCCAGUGUCCGCUGCAGCUUCAACCAAAGCUAGAAUGCGUUGCACACAAGAACUUCAUGAGGUCUUUGUUGAAGCUGUCAACCAGCUUGGUGGUGGUGAAAGAGUCACUCCUAAGGGUAUCUUAAACGUCAUGAUGGUUGAAGGCUUCACAAUGUAUCAUGUAAAAAGCCAUUUACAGGUUCAUUCUUCUCAUGUGUUCAGUCAUCCACCAAUAACUUUUUCUUGGCCUGAAGACCUUGAACUUGCUCUUGAAGCUAAGAAGUUACAAGUUCAACAUGGGAAUAGCACUGUGAAUGCCUUUUCAAGGUAAACAAUACUGCAUGAUUAUGCUUCCUAUAUGUGCAGUUUCUAUAUUACCAAAUAGGGUUUCUGUUCAGUUCAACUGAUGCUUACAUUAGUUCUCAUAAUUUUUGUUGAGUGGAAGCAUGUACGACUUUCCACAGGGACUUGAAAGCUGCUAAUCUUUUGAUGGAUGGAAUGGAGUAAGAGAUAAUUUUUCUUUAUGUUGCAUUUGUCUAUUCCUUUAAGCUCUGUAACAUAGUUCACUGUUUUCACUCACUUACAAAUAUUGGACUUUUGAUCUCUUAUUGUCUCACUAGAAGAAUGUCUCUGUUUGGUUACAAUGUCUCCUUUAAGCUUUGUAUGCCCGACUGAUUCAUAGAAUUAAUGUUUACUUGCGGUUCUUAUUUUAAUUAUUCCUGGUUGAUUUGAUAAAUGGUGGGAAUAUAUGGCGUUGCUCAAAGGAAAUUGGGAUUAUGAAGGAUUGACACUGGCUGUCAAUACCAAUUCAUAUUUUCAAUCUCUAGUGCUGAUCAUAAUGAAUAUGAUUAUAGUAGAGUUUUGGGUGAAUUGAUUGUACUGGAUACUUACUUAUCUUCUGUACUCUCUACUGGUGUAUUUUCAAGUUUGGUAAUUGUGUGGUUAAAGUAUUGUUCUGCUGCAGUUUCUAGGUAUAUAUUGAGUCAUUGAUUACCAGAUUUUCACCAUGAGGAGAGCUUGUUCUAGGAAGAGAAACCAUCAAGAUGAUGAAGAUAAUUUUCCUAGAGGGAUUUCCAGAAGAUAUUCCAAAAGUGGGUGUUCAAAGUGCUUGGCAACCUCCUUCUCUCGACUUGCUAUAGAUAUUCAACAUGAAAAAGGGCAAUGCCCAUCCCUCAUGGACUUCUACGUACGGCAAAUACGUGAGGUUGUUGAUGAUGUACAUCCUUUAACAAUAUAUGAUUCCUGAAGAUUGUCUGAGUUCAGAGAAUGACUUGCAUGCAGCCAUGAUGGAAUUGAUAUAGAUAAUAACGCAGCAGUUGCUAAUCUCCAUCACUUCCAUAUACUGUUGUUAAUGCUCAAAGUCUGGCGGUAGCCAAGCCUUCGUUUAACGCGGGUCCGGCGGGCGGACCGC